CAGUCGCCGCGGUAAUACGAAGGGGGCUAGCGUUGCUCGGAAUUACUGGGCGUAAAGGGAGCGUAGGCGGACAUUUAAGUCAGGGGUGAAAUCCCAGAGCUCAACUCUGGAACUGCCUUUGAUACUGGGUGUCUUGAGUGUGAUAGAGGUAUGUGGAACUCCGAGUGUAGAGGUGAAAUUCGUAGAUAUUCGGAAGAACACCAGUGGCGAAGGCGACAUACUGGAUCAUUACUGACGCUGAGGCUCGAAAGCGUGGGGAGCAAACAGGAUUAGAUACCCCGGUAGUCCCUGUCUCUUAUAC
rnacentral:rRNA from 1 species